rnacentral:rRNA from 1 species
GGGUGAGUAACACGUGGACAACCUGCCCUUAAGUCUGGGACAACUCUGUGAAAACAGAGCUUAAUACCGGAUAACAACUACUAUUAGGUUAAUGUUUAAAAGAUUUAUUGCUUUUGGAGGGGUCUGCGGUAUAUUAGCUAGUUGGUGGGGUAACGGCUCACCAAGGCGACGAUGUAUAGCAGGUCUGAGAGGAUGAUCUGCCACACUGGAACUUUAGACACGGUCCAGACUCCUACGGGAGGCAGCAGUGGGGAAUCUUGCGCAAUUGGGCGAAAGCCUGACGCAGCGAUACCGCGUGAGUGAAAGAAGGCCCUUGGGCUGUAAAACUCUUUGUUGGGGAAAAUAAUGAUGGUACCCAGGCGAAUAAGCACCGGCUAACUCCGUG